UGCYAUUGAUAUCAACCUGGUAAACUGGGGGAAUUGUAGAAYUAAUACAUGCACCAAAGCUCCGACCCGCGAGGGGAGAGCGCAUUUAUUAGAACAAAACCAAGCGGCUUCGGCCGUCCAUUGUUGACUCAGAAUAACUAAGCUGAUCGUACGGUCUUGUACCGACGACGUGUCUUUCAAGUUUCUGCCUUAUCAACUUUCGAUGGGAGUGUAUCUGACUACCCUGGUGGGGACGGGUAACGGAGGAUAAGGGGGCGACUCCAGAGAAAGGGGCUGAGAAAUGGCCACUACGGCUAAGGAUGGGAGCAGGCGCGCAAAUUACCCACUCUCAAUGCGAGGAGGUAGUGACGAGAAAUAACGAGGGCGCUCUCUUUGAGGCCGGUCAUCGGAAUGGGUACAAUUUAAACCCUUUAACGAGUAUCUAUGAGAGGGGAAGUCUGGGGCCAGCAGCCGCGGUAAUUCCAGCUCUCUAAAUGCAUAGAAAUAUUGCUGCGGUUAAAAAGCUCGUAGUUGGAUCUGUGCCUGUGCUCUGGUCCACCUCGCGGGGCGCACUGGGUGUCACAGGGUUUCCUGCAAUGUUCAGCCCCGGCGCCUUCACCGGCACCGGUGUGUKGAUGCUGCAAGUUUACUUUGAACAAAUCGGAGUGCUCCAAACAGGCGUUUGCUUGAACGUUCGUGCAUGGAAUAAUAGAAGAGGAUUUCGGUUCAAUUUUAUUGGUUUUAUUGGCCGAGAUAAUGGUUAACAGAGACAAACGGGGGCAUUUGUAUUGCUGCGUGAGAGGUGAAAUUCUUGGACCGUAGCAAGACAAACUACCGCGAAAGCAUUUUGCCAAGAAUGUCUUCAUUAAUCAAGAACGAAAGUCAGAGGUUCGAAGGCGAUCAGAAUACCCGCCCCACA
rnacentral:rRNA from 1 species